rnacentral:rRNA from 1 species
AUACGGAGGAUGCAAGCGUUAUCCGGAUUUAUUGGGUUUAAAGGGUGCGUAGGCGGUUUGCUAAGCGGGAGGUGAAAUGCCGGCGCUCAACGUCGGAAGUGCCUCCCGAAUUGGUGGACUUGAAUGACUCUGCCGUGGGAGGAAUGUGUAGUGUAGCGGUGAAAUGCUUAGAGAUUACACAGAACACCGAUUGCGAAGGCAUCUCACGAAGGGUUGAUUGACGCUGAGGCACGAAAGCGUGGGGAUCAAACAGGAUUAGAUGCCCUGGUAGUCCACGCAGUAAACGAUGAUGGCUAACCGCUGGGCUUAUCAGUUCAGUGGCCAAGCGAAAGCGAUAAGCCAUCCACCUGGGGAGUACGACCGCAAGGUUGAAACUCAAAUGAAUUGACGGGG